rnacentral:lncRNA from 1 species
CUUCCGGUGUAGGCGAAGUUUUCGUUCAUCUCAAGUAAAGUUCACAUUUCAAAGAUCAAACUUUUGUUGUCGGCUGGUAUUAUACAGACUAUUUAUAAAUCAAAGUAUAUUUCAAUGUCUAGAGUUACACUACGUUUUCUCUAGUUGCUAUAAAGAGCUGCUUAACCUGGAAGGUGAGUUGCUUUUCUCUGCUGUGUUUUAAUAUAAAUGAACUGCCAUGGACGUUGUUUGAAAUACUCAUGUUAAUCUUUUGGAUUUUAAUAUUGGUUUGUAUAUAUAAUCGUUUGUUGUAAAAAGAACAGUUCCAAAAUGC